CACGUAGGGGGCAAGCGUUGUCCGGAAUCAUUGGGCGUAAAGAGCUCGUAGGCGGCUCAGUAAGUCGGGUGUGAAACCCUCAGGCUCAACCUGGGGACGCCACCCGAUACUGCUGUGGCUAGAGUCCAGUAGGGGAGUGUGGAAUUCCCGGUGUAGCGGUGAAAUGCGCAGAUAUCGGGAGGAACACCAGCGGCGAAGGCGGCACUCUGGGCUGGAACUGACGCUGAGGAGCGAAAGCGUGGGGAGCGAACAGG
rnacentral:rRNA from 1 species